GGACGAAAGCGGGGGCGGAUCCGGCUCGGGCUGGUUGGGAAGGGUUAAAGAGGCGAGUUUGUGGGUCGCCGACGGUCCGGCUGCCCCCGCCUCCUUCCGUCUGAUCAGCGCUCUCCCGCGGCUGCGCCGGCUCGGCCGCCCGGGAGACAAAGCACCGCCGAUGCCGCCAACGCAACCGAGCAGUUCCCGGGCCAUGGCCGGGCCGCUCCCCGGCUCCGCGUCUCCCGUCCCGCCACUGCUGUCGUCGCCCUAGUCCGCGCCGUGAGGUUUUUUGAGCACCAACUACAUGCCAGGCACUGGAAUUCAGACAGAGAACCUCCGCCCUCCUAGAGCAGCAAAAAUGACCCAGAUGUGGAAGCAGAGGCCCAGAGAGACUUAAAGCUUGCCCGGGGUCACACAGCCUGGACACUACAGAGCUGACAUUUGAACCCAGAGAAGAGCAAGCCGAAACCAGAACUGAGCAGAGGGCAGGGAAGUGAGCAGCAGCCUGAGAGAUAAGAGUAGAAGGGCAUUCUUGCUUCUAAAAAGAGACACAAUGAAGAGCUCUGGAAGUAAGCUAUGUCGGAAGCCUGGAGCCAUGGUAGCCAUCUUGUGAUCCUGAAGUAGGCCAUGUUAAGGAAAACAUCCCCUGCUGAGUUUAGCACACACUGGAAAAUAUCCUUGACCUGCUGCAUCAAUGGACCUGAGAACCCGCCCUUCUUCUGGAAGUCUUGUUGUUUGAGGUGUCAGCUGAGAUGCCUCCUCCUCCAGGAAGCCUUCCGGGAUCCCCCUUAUUCACACACUCAUGGUGUUUCCACCACUGAAGCACUGAGCACACAGCAGGUACUCAAUCUAUACUUAUUACCUGGAUGAACAGUUGCCAAAUUGCCCCCAGCUCAGCUCUCUCCUCCCUUGUGUUCCUUGAUCUAAACCUGCCUCUGCCUGUAAGGCCUCCCCUGCCUUCUCAUUCCUCUCUGGUCUCUCCACUCUUGCUCUCCCAUGGUCCCUAGUUCAGAAUUCCACAUUUCUGUGUUUUUGCUGCAUUUUCCACUCCAGAUGGACAGUGACUGCAGACACAAUGUCAACACCAAAGCUAAUGGUCCAGAGGGAGCUUUGGUUCCCAGAGCCCAGGGGGCAUCUACUUCUACAGGUUCUUAGGUGACUUGUGUGUGUCAGAUGAGGCUUUCUGCUCCACUCCUGCCCCCACCUACAACCCGCGGCCACAUCCUGAGGAUUUCUGACUUCUGACCUCCGGAGCUGCAAACCAAGUGUCCAAAACGCCUGUCUUUGGCUUUACUUUGGAGCAAUUAGUUACCCUAAACAAGGAGGAGUUCACUCAUCAUUUCAUUCCCACCGCAAGGACGUGUGGAAAAACUGGGGUGAUCAGAAGGUUUCCAGACAAAGAGGAAAAGGUCUGUCUUGGGAUGCCACGUGCCCUCGGCUCACGGGUGAAUAAUGUUUAAUGCCGCUUAGGGAACUCUCUUGACAUUAUUGGUCAAGAAAAAACAAACCUCCUGCAGCUUGAUACACAGAGAGACUCACCAUCAUGGGUUGAAGGAACCCAACCCCCACUCAUGAAAACAGUACGGAACGCUGAGCCCUUAUGUGCCACACACUGUCUUAUGUGUUUUACAUGCAUCAUCAUUCCUGAUAAUGACCCUUUGAGUUGGCUGCUGUGAUACCCCCAUUUUACAGAUGGGGAGACCGAGGCCCUAGUUAUACAGCUGUGAAAGGGGCGCUGCUGUGUUGGUCACCAGAAAGCCCCUCUUGGCACUUUUCCAUCAGGAGUCUAGAGGCACCCGCCACUCACACACUCCACUGAGGUGGGCACAGCUUGUAAACUGGCUGGUCUUAGGGCCACGGCCUGUGGCCCCCGAUUGGGGCAGGGCACAGUCUCAGCUCCUCAGAUCUAGACCCCAGAGUCUAACCAGCUUCCACCUUCUGCAAUGAGUGGAAUGUGUAUUCCAAUCCUUCCAUCUUCCUUUGUUGGAGCCCACAGCACAAUCACCAACCGAGAUGCCCACAGGACCUGGGCAGGUGGUGCAGGUGCAGACAGAGGCAAAUCAUGGGCACAUGUCCUAACGGGGAGGGCCACUCCCCAGCUAGCUGCUGUCAUGUUGGAAUUUGGGCCCUGUGUGGCCAGAUCUUACUGUUUUCCAGUGAAGCCAGUAAUCAGGAUUUUUAAUGAAAUUAGAACAUUCUUUAACGCCAUACACAAAAAUAAACUCAAAAUGGAUUAAAGACCUAAAUGUAAGACUGGAUACUAUUAAACUCUUAGAGAAAACACUCUUUGACAUAAUCGCAGCAGUAUCUUUUUCGAUUCGUCUCCUAGAGUAAUGGAAAUUAAAAAAAACAAAUGGGACCAAAUUAAACUCAAAUGCUUUUGCACAGAAAAGGAAACCAU
ensembl:lncRNA PH domain containing endocytic trafficking adaptor 1